rnacentral:ncRNA from 1 species
UACCCUUUGGGGAGCUUGUACACAGGCUGAGAGGAUGGUGUGACCAUCGACCCGUGAACCUGAUGCGGGUAAUGCCGACGUAGGAAGCUUGUGA